rnacentral:tRNA from 1 species
GUGGCUGUAGCUCAGCCUGGUUAGAGCCCCAGAUUGUGGAUCUGGCUGUCGCGGGUUCAAAUCCCGUCAGCCACCCCA